AGAGUUUGAUCCUGGCUCAGAUUGAACGCUGGCGGCAUGCCUUACACAUGCAAGUCGAACGGUAACAGGUUAAGCUGACGAGUGGCGAACGGGUGAGUAAUAUAUCGGAACGUGCCCAGUCGUGGGGGAUAACGCAGCGAAAGCUGUGCUAAUACCGCAUACGAUCUAUGGAUGAAAGCGGGGGACUUGCAAGAGCCUCGCGCGAUUGGAGUGGCCGAUAUCAGAUUAGCUAGUUGGUGGGGUAAAAGCUCACCAAGGCGACGAUCUGUAGCUGGUCUGAGAGGACGACCAGCCACACUGGAACUGAGACACGGUCCAGACUCCUACGGGAGGCAGCAGUGGGGAAUUUUGGACAAUGGGCGCAAGCCUGAUCCAGCAAUGCCGCGUGCAGGAUGAANGGCCUUCGGGUUGUAAACUGCUUUUGUACGGAACGAAACGGUCUGUCCUAAUACGAUGGGCUAAUGACGGUACCGUAAGAAUAAGCACCGGCUAACUACGUGCCAGCAGCCGCGGUAAUACGUAGGGUGCGAGCGUUAAUCGGAAUUACUGGGCGUAAAGCGUGCGCAGGCGGUUAUAUAAGACAGAUGUGAAAUCCCCGNGCUCAACCUGGGACCUGCAUUUGUGACUGUAUAGCUAGAGUACGGUAGAGGGGGAUGGAAUUCCGCGUGUAGCAGUGAAAUGCGUAGAUAUGCGGAGGAACACCGAUGGCGAAGGCAAUCCCCUGGACCUGUACUGACGCUCAUGCACGAAAGCGUGGGGAGCAAACAGGAUUAGAUACCCUGGUAGUCCACGCCCUAANCGAUGUCAACUGGUUGUUGGGUCUUCACUGACUCAGUAACGAAGCUAACGCGUGAAGUUGACCGCCUGGGGAGUACGGCCGCAAGGUUG
rnacentral:rRNA from 1 species